UACGUAGGUGGCAAGCGUUGUCCGGAUUUACUGGGUGUAAAGGGCGUGUAGGCGGGUAGAUAAGUCAGAUGUGAAAUACCGGGGCUCAACCCCGGGGCUGCAUUUGAAACUAUUUAUCUUGAGUGCUGGAGAGGAAAGCGGAAUUCCUAGUGUAGCGGUGAAAUGCGUAGAUAUUAGGAGGAACACCAGUGGCGAAGGCGGCUUUCUGGACAGUAACUGACGCUGAGGCGCGAAAGCGUGGGGAGCAAACAGG
rnacentral:rRNA from 1 species